AUGAGAACCUGGUGCAGGUGGAAGGAAAGGGGACCCCACAGGGAAGGUAGAAGGGCCAGGGCUUUCCCCAGCAGUGGCCAGAUCUGAACAGAGAUGACUCUGUGUUGCUGUGGCCACUCCAGACCCCAGACCGCAGCCUGAUAUCCAAGCUCCCGAGGGAGCAGAAUGCAUCAGCCACCUCAGAGAGGAGGCGCAGCCCAGUCAGGGCCCCACGUUGUCACGGCUCCAGCUGUCCUCAGGAGGGAAACUGUCUUGCAAGCCUGGAGACUUCUGGUUGCUUCUCGGAGGAAAGGUAGCAUCUCCCUUCCUUUCUGGGAAACAAACAUUCCCGAGUACCAACUGCGUGCCAGGCCCAUUGCUAGCUGCAAUCUUAGGCGAGUCCCAAACCUCUCUGAGACUUGGGCCUGUCAUCUGGAAACAGAGUAGUCUAUAAAAGAUUGACUUCAAAGGGCUGUGAGGACAGUCAAAGAGACCAUAAAGCACAGAGCUUGGGCAGGGGUGGGCAUUCAGGAGAGGUGGUGGCCCCUUCCCCUGUGCCUGCCCCUGGGAAACCCUGUCCCCUACCUGGCUGGCAGCACAGGAGACGUGGAGAAGGGACAACCCGGUCUGGGGACGGGGCGGUUUCUCCAGGCUGGGCUGCCACUGUCUUCCUUCCCUGUGUGGGUGGUGGCUCAGGGCCUGGUGGUCUGCCACAAAGGUCCAGAAGGUCCACCCUUUCUGGUGGCUGGGGGUGGCAGUCAGGGGCUUCAGGACAAGCCUCUGGCUGCUGUGGCCCCCUACCCUUCCUCUGCACCUUGGGAGCCCCAGCCCCUGGGCUGUCUGAGUCUAUGCUAACAAAGUAGGAGCCAGAAACGUUCCUUUAGACACAGGUCACUGUGAGCCUUGGCUAAGCCUGGGGACCUCUUCUCGGCCCUGGCUACGGCCCAGAUGCCCACCCUGAACCUUCCACGAGUCAGGGCAGGCACCAUUUCCCCAGGACCAGCUGAGCAGUAAAGUCUCUUCUGGUUUAUCUGGAGGAAGGAAAAUGACGUCAUGAGGUAAACCGCACAGCCUGAAACCACGAGGCUGGGCGCCCCAGUGAUGUUUGCUUUUCAGCAAAAGUCACCAUGCACACAGAGGGACAGGGAGCCCAGGCCAUUGUGGUCAGAGGGUCAGGGGGAAGACAGAGGGAGAUUUUUUAACACGGAACCACAAGGAAGGAGAGGCCCCCGGAGAGGACGGACGUCAGAGGCCAGAGGGCGGCUUCCUGGGGUGCUGUGAGAGACUUGUCACCUGCUGGGUGGGGCAGUCUCUGCUGGUGUCUCACGAGGUCUCGGGCUUGGCACCUGAGGCAUGCAAAGUCACGUUUGCCAUGGCGGGCACAAUAAUAGUGGCAAGAAUAAUAAUAUCGAUAACGCAUCCUGACCAUGUGUCUCUGUAGCCCUGUCACCUCCUCACCACCGUCCCAUAAGACGGGACCCUGCGAGGCAGACGCAGCCUGCACACAGAGGAGGGAGGGGAGGCUGCUGGGGCUCCGGCCUGUGCUUUCGCCUCCAGACCAUGGAGCUUCUUCACCCACAUGCUGGGUGCCGUCCAGCCUGAGGCCUGUGUGCAGGGUCCCGGUUUCAAGCCCCGAUUCCCACCUGCUAACUGUGACCCAGGAAGCCCCACCCCCCGCAGCCCUCAGUUUCUUCACCUGCCAAACUCCCUGCCUUCGAGGUGAGAGAUUACGUAAGUAAGGUAAAGCUUAUUCUUCGAUACCGUUCUCUUACUCUGUCAAUGCUUUGAGCAGGGUUCCCUGGAGAAACUGGCCCCAAAGCGUGGGCCCAGACACUGGUCUUGAUGGGCUGGCUGAGGCGGGAGCUCCGUCUCAUGGGAGUGGAUGGGAGUGGCAGGCAGGUGGGUGGCACCUUCUGUGGAGCGGGGGCCAGUCGGCAGCUUAAACGAGGGCAGAGAGAGCUGUCUAGGGAGGUCCAAUGGGGCUUCACUUUUCUCAGGAAUCUCAGGGUCUCCAAGCCCCCACUCUAGGGUGGCAUGAGUUUGGGGGGUUCCUAAAGGAAGUCCCCUGUGUCUGGGUGUGCCUGGGUGGCAGUGUAGGGGCAGGUGUGGUGCCCACAUUGUCCAUAUGUCCUCACCCGCCCCAGGCCCCAGGCCCUCUGCCUCAGGGUGGGGCCGCAGCUCAGCUUUGAUGCCCCUGAGGGCCUGCCUGCCGGAACUGCUGUUUCAGGCAGGAGGUGGGAGGACGCAAUGCAGGCGGGGUUGCCCAACCAAAACACCCUCAGCCCAAUUCCUCCCACAGGCCUCCUGGAACCCGCAUUUCUUCAGUGGAGUCACAGCUUUUUGGGCUAUGGCUCCUCUUUUCAGUUCUUUUUCUUUAUAACACAAAGACACCAUGAGAGAGGCCGUACUUCACAAUCCCCAAGUGUUAGAAGGCAGAGGGUCUUCCAGACAGCCACCACCAGGCCUGUGCUUUACAGAGGAGGAAGCUGAAAGGACUGGUCCAAGACCACACAGCGGGGAGCAGGUGGCAGCACGGACGCUCGAAGCUUGGUCUCUCGCUGUGGAGUUUUCUCUCGCCUGUCUCUACCGCUAUCAUCCUAAUACUGAAGCAUCAGGUCCUUUUUCAAGACACCACCAGCUACAAGCAGAGGGCAAGCCUGGGGCUGAGAAGCACUGUGGGGAGGAGGGGUGGAGCUGGGAGAGGGUCACGGGAGUCAGGGGCCAGGGAAAGCUGCCAAGCAGAGACAGCCUCUCCUGCCCCUUUCCCAGGGCUGACUCAGCACCUUACGCGUGAGGAUUUGUCAUCAACAACUGACCCCAAAAGCCAUGGUGCCCUGGGGUUGGUGUCCCAGUGAUGCUUUUCUGACUCGUGGCCCAGGAUGACACAAAGCCCCAAGGGACAAGCCAGAGAUCCCACUGGCCCAGCCAGAUGCUCCAAGAUUCCUUUUGCCUGUAACCCAGAACUGGCCCACCCUCUUGCCUGGUUACUGGGGCUUUCACGAAAGAGCAAUGGACAGUGGGAAGGGCUCGCUGUGAGGCAGGAUCAGUCCUGGGGCCCUGGGAGUGUCUCUUCCCUUCCCCGAGCCUCAGUGUUCUUGUCUGUACAAUGGAAGUUCAGGUCAGAUGGUCUCUGGAUUCCUUCCCAGCUCUGAGAACCAGGUUCUACCUCAGCUGUUCUCAGAAAGGACAGGGUGGUCCGGGCUGGGCAUGGGCUUGAGGCUUGUGCCCCUCUCCUAGCCCCAAGGACUUCCCAUCCUUUCAGGUCCCGCUGGGGCUCAGCUGCCCAACUCUGAUCAGAAAGAAGAGCUGUAAGUCUGGCUGGGCGGUGGCUCAUGCCUCUAAUCCCAGCACUUUGGGAGGCCAAAGAGGAUGGACUGCUUGAGCCCAGGAGUUCGGGACCAGCCUGGGAACCCUCUCAUGGGACAGCUGGACACAGCCAGGCGGGAAGGACUCUUCACCAGCCCCGUCUCCAUAGUCCCGGCUGCCAUCACUGCUGGCAUCGACACUGACCCUCCAGCUCCAGCACCAGGUCACCACCCUGCCCCUCAUCCAUCCUCCUCCUCCACGCGUGAUGAAUGAGCUUUUCUCAUUCAAUCAUUCUCAGGGGCAGCAUAGCGUGGCCAGUAGGAAGGAGGAUGCGGGAGCCAGCCUGCCUGGCUCCACCACCCACCAGCUGCUUUUAUUCCCUGCCUGCUCUAGUUCCCUGGCUGUAAAAUGGGGAUACAAAUAAUAUCUUCCUCAUCAGGUCACUGGGAGGCUUAAAUAAGCCCAUACUGUAAAGUGCUUAGAACAGGGCCUGCCACGUAGUAAGUACUCCAUAAUUGCUAUCAUUCAUCCAUUCAUUCAUUCAUUCAUUCAUUCGUGAAUUCUAUCCUGCCUGUUUCUGAAAGAGUUGAGAUGACUCACAGUGGAAAUGCAAUGAUAACAGGCCUUUAAAUUCAGAUUAAAAGAACACAAGCCUAGGCUGCAGAGGAGAGAGUGUCCCAGAAUCUGAGCCAAGCAAGCCUCACCUGAAUACAACCUCCCGGCGUCUCAUCCAAAACAUAAAGGUUGCUGGUAUCAAUUCUCCUUUUCUGAUGAAAGGAAGCAUAACAGCUUUCCAGCGGAAUAGAAGAUUUUUUUUUGGUUCAAACUUUAUGAAUGACAUUAAACAAUGCAAUGAGUAGCCUCCCCCUCACCUCACCCUGUCCGCCUUUUUAAUCAACUCCUGAGAAAUGGGGUCUGCUCUUCUUCCCAUCCCACUCCCCAUCUCCAGACCCUGCGGAAGCCUGUGGUCCUGGAGAGCCUGAGAGCCCUCAGAGCGAUACCUUCAGCUAUCCCAGGAGAAGGACACUCUUCGCUUUCAGCACCAGGGGAAAACUAGGAAAAAGCCAAGCCACUGAGUCAAUGAGGGCCUUCCCUCAGCUGCAGACAGCAAGCCCCUUCCAGGCGCUUCCCCGCAGCUACGGCAGCAAGUGCCCCAGGGGCAGGGCCGGGAAUGCUCACUGAGAAAUCCCAGAGCUGCCUGCACUUCCUCUCACCGGCUUCCCCUUCUCUCAGCAGCCACAGGCACGGGAAAGGCCUUAUCACCGCUCACCUGACUGUGGCCACAGUCUCCUCCCUGUCAGCGUCUCCCCGCCCAAUCAACGCUUCACACCUUUGCAGCUGCUGAUUCCCGGAGGACCACUUACACCAAGCACUGUGAGCUGAUCGAUGGCAGAGUCUCUCCAGCUCAUGAGUCUUCAGUGACUCCCCAUUGUCCAUGGAAAACAGAAGACACCUGAGGCCUUGCACAGUGGACCUUAUUCUCAUCCCUCCCUCAGGAGAAUCCUCUGCCUCGAGCCGAAGGCCGUGGGCUCUGCAGACUCCAGGCCUCUCCUUCCCAGGGCGGUCUUCCCUUUCCCUAUGCUCAAGGCACAGCCCAAGUCCCACCUCCUCCAUUGCAAGGGACACCACCCUCUGAAUUCCUGUUGGGGAAAGAGCCUAGUUUUGCAGCCAGAUAGGCCCGAGUUAGAGUCUCAGCUCAGUUCCAAUCCCAUUAGCUGGUUGCAAGUCAUUAACUUUGUCAACCUUCAGUAAAUGGAAAUCAGGCCCACACUGUAGGUGCCUGGGGGUGCUGAUGGUUGAGUGGAAUCUGUUCUUUUGACCUUCCCAGCAUCUUUCCCCUUCCCAGCAUCCUUUCCCCUUUCUUUUGGUGAUGUCGCCUGGAUUUUCUGUUGGGUAUGUGGUCCAGGGGUGGCUGACCUCACUUCCUGGUUCCAGCAUAAGAUCAUGACUGAGAGCUGGCCAAUGAGAAUAUUCCCUCGCCCCAGCCACAGAGUCAGAUUCCCGGGGAUGAACUUGUGAGUCAAAACAGGCUGGUGGGAACACACUUGGGGUGUUAGCUGGAGUUAUUGAAGCUUUCUUUCCCACUGGAGUCACUAGGUAGAUAGAAGGAAAGCUGAAGCCUUUAGCCACUGCUGUGGGUUGAAGUGUGUACCCCAAAAAGAUAUGUUCAAAUUCUAAUCCCCUGCACCUUUGGAGGUGGCCUUGUUUGGAAAAAGGGUCUUUGCAGAUGUAGGCAAGUGAAGAUGAAGCCAUCCUGGAUCAGGGUGGCUUGUGGCUUGUGUCCAAUGCCUUGUGUCCUUCUAAGAAGAGAGAAAUCGAGACACAGACACACACAGGGAAAAGGCCGAGUGAUGACAGCAGCAGAGAUGGGAGCGCGGCAGCUACAAGCUGAGGGAUGCCAAGCAUGGCUGGCACCACCCAGGAGCCUGGAGAGAGGGAGGGGACAGCCUCCUCCUUAGAGCCUCGAAACACCCUACCCACAUCCUGGCUUCAGACUUCCAGCCUGCACAACUGGGAGAGAAUCACUUUCUGCUGUGUUAAGCUACACUAGUUCAUGGUGAUUUGUUACAGCAGCUGCAGGAAAUGAACACAGACACCAAAUGGAGAUACUGUGUCUGAGAUUGAAGCCAGCACCGUGGAAUCAGAGCUGCCAGGAGGGAGACGUGGACUCUCGACCCUGUGGCCACACUUGGUUCCCCCAGCAGCUGAAGCACGAAGUCUACUGGACUUACUAGACUUUCCAGUUACCUGGACCAAUAUAUUCUCUGUUUUACUUAAGCUGUUUCGAUUGGAUUUCUGGCUAUUUCAACUGAGAGAGGCCUAACUCUCAGUUAUACAGAGACAAUGGAUGUAAAAUGCAUUGAAGGCCAGGCACAGUGGCUCGCGCCUGUAAUCCCAACACUUUGGAAAGCCAAGGCAGGAGGAUGGCUUG
rnacentral:lncRNA from 1 species